GUACAUGAUUACAACAUUGUUUUAAUGCACCAGAUACUAUUAAAACUCCUCAAUAAAGCACGCUCGGGAUAGAGUAGUAUUGGGAUGGGUGACCUCCCGGGAAGUCCAAGUGUUUUACAUG
rnacentral:rRNA from 1 species